AAAAACAAAAUAAGUUCAAAAAUAUUGAACCAAAUAUAAAACUUAAAAAAUUUGCUACUUUAAUUUUUUUUUCUUUCAAAAUAUCUAUAAAGAAAAACUGGCAUUAAUGGCAGCCAUCAUCAUUGGUCAAUUGCUCUUUUUGACUGUAUAUCAUUAACUUAUUUUCAUUUUAAAUCUAUAUUUCAAUCAGUAAUGAAGACGGUUUAAUGAUAUAAUCAUUAUUUCCGAAAUUAAUGUGCAUGUCAAAUUAUCAGAAGUUGGUGGCUCACCAAAACAAUCUGAUGUAUACAUUUUGAACAGAAAUGAUUAAAAUUCAACUGAAUUUCAAACAAUCUAAAUCAAGUCAUAUUUUCCAAAUUACUUUUAAAAAAUCGACUAAAUAUGUAGACAUCCAAAUUGACAAUCGGAAACUUUACUUUCGUACAGGUGUGACUAUUAGAGAAAGGGUUUCCAAAUUGUCAAUGUUAAGAGACUAUUUGCUGUUAAAAUUAAUUCAGAAAUUAAUGUGAUGCAUGUUUUAAUUCAAAUCCUAAAUUGGAGUACAAGUAUACUUUUUUCAUUAGGGGACGACCAUUUGAUAUUCUGGGGGGGCCAGGAGGAUUUUGAAAAUAAAUAACUCAGCCUUGAUAAUCACAAAAAUAAAUGGUUUGUUCUGUGGUAGUUUGAAAAUAAAUGACCUGACUUGCAAUGUAUUGAAAAUAAAUAACUCAGCAGGUCUAAUCGAAAGUAUGAGAUGGCACCAGAUUCUUCAUAAAUUAAUCUUUUUUCCAAAAAAAACAAAUCGGGAAACACUUCCCAUAUCUUUUAAUAAUAAAAGUAUAAAUAUUAUUUAAAUAUACUUGAAAUGUCAGAAAAUUGGUUUCAUUUAACUUGAGGUUAAUUGUCUCAGGAACACUUACCUCACUUUUAUUAAAUCAGGGCCGUAACUACAUUGGUACAAUUGCCUCAUGUAGGAAAUUUCAAAACCAAACGCUUGUCUCCAUAUCAAAUUGUGUUCACCGUGAGUGCCUUGCAAGAAGCAAGUUCUGUUCUCCCUCAGACAUAGCCCCUGAUUUUUCGGGAUCAAUAUUUCUUAUUUAUUUGUCUUUUGUUCAUUGAUUGCCCUUCUGUAUUCUUUUAGUGUUGCAUUCAUUUUGUAAUUUAGUAAUUUUAUUAUUAACUUGA